AGGAUAAAACGCUGGCGGCGUGCCUAACACAUGCAAGUCGAACGUCCUUUCCCGCAAGGGGAAGGGAGUGGCGGACGGGUGAGUAUCACGUGGGUUAUCUGCCUUUAGGUGAGGAAUACCGGCGAGAAAUCGCCGACAAUACCGCAUAUCUUUCGCAAGAAAGAAAGCCUCGUAAGAGGUGCCUGAGGAGGAGCCUGCGCCCGAUUAGUUGGUUGGUGGGGUAAUGGCCUACCAAGACGACGAUCGGUAGCUGGUCUGAGAGGAUGAUCAGCCACACUGGGAUUGAGAACGGCCCAGACUCCUACGGGAGGCAGCAGUGAGGAAUUUUCCGCAAUGGGCGCAAGCCUGACGGAGCAAUGCCGCGUGAAGGAAGAAGGCCCGUGGGUUGUAAACUUCUUUUCUUAGAGAAGAAUCCGAGAGGAGGACGGUAUUUGAGGAAUAAGCAUCGGCUAACCCUGUGCCAGCAGCCGC
rnacentral:rRNA from 1 species